rnacentral:rRNA from 1 species
GACGAACGCUGGCGGCGUGCCUAAUACAUGCAAGUCGAGCGGAAGUUGGAGAGCUUGCUCUUCAACUUUAGCGGCGGACGGGUGAGUAACACGUGGGCAACCUGCCCUGCAGAUCGGGAUAACUCCGGGAAACCGGUGCUAAUACCGAAUAGUUUUCGCCACCUCCUGGUGGCGUACGGAAAGACGGUUUCGGCUGUCACUGCAGGAUGGGCCCGCGGCGCAUUAGCUAGUUGGUGGGGUAACGGCCCACCAAGGCGACGAUGCGUAGCCGACCUGAGAGGGUGAUCGGCCACACUGGGACUGGGACACGGCCCAGACUCCUACGUGAGGCAGCAGUAGGGAAUCGUCCGCAAUGGACGAAAGUCUGACGGAGCAACGCCGCGUGAGUGACGAAGGUUUUCGGAUCGUAAAACUCUGUUGUGAGGGAAGAACAAGUACCAACUAACUACUGGUACCUUGACGGUACCUCACCAGAAAGCCACGGCUAACUACGUGCCAGCCGCCGCCGUAA